CCAAUACUUCAUAAUCACUUCACUAGCAAUGGUUAUUAUAUUGCAAUUGGACUGAGGAGUAGAGUCAUAUCUUACUAGAAAAAGAAAGCAAAAGAAAUCAGCCAUAUACCUGUUGGUGGCCAGAAUACAUAUUUCGUAUCUCUAGACUAAUAGUUAAAUUAUUUAAUCACGUUAUAUUUGUCUAAAUAAUAUUUAAUCCCUGAUUUGGUUAUUUUUAAAUUUAAACUGCGUUUCAUUAUCUUGUAAAUUAUAAUUGUUGGUAAGUAGCUUUACAUCCUUUUUAGAAACUUGUUGAUGUGUAUUUUCUUUAAAUUAUUUAUAUAUGAGGCAAUGUGAGAGCAAAAAAGACGGGUGUGGCAGAAGAAAUGGCAGGGGGCAAAUUAGUUAUGCAUAUGAAUGCAGGAGAUGGAGAAUCCAGUUAUGCCAGCAGAUCCAGUACUCUUCUCUAUUUCUCAUUUCUCUCGUCAAACUCCGCUUGUUUGAGCUUUGCUAACACAUACGGUAGAAAGACGAUCCUAAAGCCAAAACCUGUUUUAGAAGAUGCCAUCAAGAAGAUGUUCAAUAACGUUGGCUCCCGAAAAGAUGGAGAACAACAACAACGUAUACAUAGGAAGGACAAGUCCUCCUCAAGUACCUGAAGCCUACCUGAAGCAAUUUGAGAAGGAUUUCUCAAGGUUUCUGCAAUCGCGCUCCGAGGAAAUAGUAACUGUUGGACACAUGGCUCUAGCAUUUAUGGGAAGGGGCAGUCCUGAUCCCUAUGGAAUUCACUGUGGCUUUCUGGAUCUUCUAUCAAAGUCACUCAUUGAAUUAGUACAAGAGGUCCACUACUUCACUCUACUAACAACUUGUUUUCUUCCAAUAAUUCGUUAAAGAGUUUCACUUUCAUACACUGACAAAGUAUAAGGAAAAAUUUUACACAAUCAGGCCAUUUAGAAGGUUACUGUAGGUAUAAUAACAAACUGCAUUAGUCUUGAAUUUUGGCUGCACUGACAAUUUUGGUAAAACCAACAACUAACUACAUUAGUCAUGAACUGCUAACAAAAGGAUUAGUCAUGAACUGCUGACAAAAGGCGCAGCAAGGUGCACUAAACUUGCUCUGAGUUGUUGAAGGUGUGAUGUUAUAUUGCCUAAUGAUGAAUAAUUAUUCAUGAAAUAUUCUUUUUUUAUUGAUUUCUUUUUAAGAUGAACAACCAACGAAAGAACCAAUAGUAGGUUUCUUGCUUGUUACUCAACUAAUAUCUUAAUAUAUCCUAUGAAGAUCAAUUUUUACAACUACCGAGAAUUGUUAAUGAAGGGUUUGGGGGUGGGUUGCUCCUCGACUCCGGAAACUGUUUUCAAAAUUACACACACAACAACAAGAACUAGGAAAUUAAUAGGUUAUCAAGUGCAGGAGUACAGAAAAGUAAAGACACAAGAUUUUUGCAUGGAAACUUCUUGCUCAAGGGAGAAAAGUCACGAUCUGCCUUCAGGAUUUCAAGCUCCACUAUAUUCAAGCAACACCUUGAAUACAGACUCCAAGGAUUAACCUCCUAAUCCUUUGUUUCAUAGCAAUAAUCCUAUUACAAGGAAACCAAGCAGUAACUCUACUACUUCCACCUCAGCUAACUCUAGCUGCCAAUAACUCCAGCUAACUCUAACUGGACUUUACAAACUAACUCUAGCUUGGCACAUCACCUAGCUCUAGAUAAUUACAAGAGACAGUACACCACAACACCUACUACAAUCAUAAGCAAACGUAGAUAGUCUUUUAGGAACAAAAUACAAAGGCUCAACUAUAACAAGGAAAUAAAGAGACAACUCGAUGAACAACAAGUUCCCUAUUAUAGUUUCAGUCUUUGAUUGUAGCGCUGCGACACUUCAGAAAAAUCUUUAAUUGUGAGUAUAUGAAAGUGUUGGUUUCUUGUUGUGAAAAAUGAGUAUUAUAUAUUGAGACACAAAAAACUCUAGAAACAAUCUCAUUGGUUGAGGCAAAAAGAUGGCAGCAACUUUUCACCAACUUUUAUUCUUUUGGUCAGCUGAAAAGUUGACUGUGACGGCGACCAGUGAACCCAACCUACUCCCUAAUACGUAAAAGGCCUUUGUCAUCACAACAAGGGCUCUAGGGAACAUUGUCAUCACAACAAGGGCUCCAAGAAACAAGUCCCAAAGUACUAUGAAUUUGUCAAUCAUCAAAACCAAGGACUUAACAUAUAAGUCUACUUUCUCCAGGUUAGAUCAAACAUCAAAAGGCAGAGCGCUACAAAGGCCAAAUAUUGGCUACAAUGACAGUAAUAUCAUUGUACAUUCCACCCUGACGUGCCUCUAUUGAACCUAGCCUUACUAAAUAUAUAGAAUAGGAAUAUAAUCUAUUAGGGCUCAUGUUAUGAAGUUAUCUUUUAUUUUUUAAUGCUUCGUAGUUAACUCUGGAGCCUCCCUUCUUUAUUUUAAUUUUUUUGUAUGACGAACUCCUAUUCAAAUAUAUGUGAUUAUGAUUCUCCGUAUCAACACAAUUCCCCUUCAUUACAAAUUCCGUAAAGUACUCUCUUGUAUCAAUAUCCUUUCAUAUCAGCAACACCAAUCAUAUUAUACUUGCUUCACAUUAUACUCCCUCAUCUUGAUAUUUGUCUCUUCGAAUCAUACCAGUUAUAGCGAUGAGCCAUCGCAAUUGUGAACAAGGUGUGGUACAAUCUGCUUUGUAUCAGGGUCCAUGAACUUUUCUUUAAAAAAUUGAAGAGCAAGCCAAGCAGAAAAUGAAUAUUUUAGCUCAACUUACCCAUACCCCAUUUAGUUGGUGUAACACCAUCCAACUUUAUCAUGUUGGUCUUAGUCAUUCCAAAGACCCCGUUACAUAUUAUAAUAUUAUCCGCUUUCGAUCUAGCCCGUAGAUUUUUACCAAAAGUUUCACAUCCUUACCAAAUUCUACCUCUUAUAUGUAGCUUUUUAGUCUUUUUAGCUAUCAAUGCGAGACUUUAUAUGAACAUCCAAUACUCUCCCCCUCAAACUAAAUAUCACGUGGCUAUCGCCAUGAUUCACGGGUCAUCAAGAUUUAAUACAAUAAAACCACGGAAGACACAAAACACACCCCAAAACAGUCCACAAAUCACAAGGAUCCUAGGACCGAUUGGAGAUCACACUCGGAUUCAAGAAUACAAUACAAGAAUGAUAAUAUUCAAGGUGUUCAACACCUAUUUUCAUCCAACCCAAACUAAGUUAACCAAUAAUAAGAUGAUGAACAAGAAUAACAAUAACAAUGUAAAACAACAACAACCAAAUGGUUACAAUUACAACAACACAAACUACAUGAUUACAAUGAAACAAAAAGAUAGGCAAAGUGAAGGUAUAAUCUUAAGAACCCAAGAGCUUAUUCCACACUUGGACCCUUAACACUACACUCAACAAAUACCUAUCUCUUCAGUGGAAACAAAAGAGGGAGACCUCAACCUCCUCUAGCACCCAACGUUCCAAGCAAGAAUCCAAUAAGAGUGAUUCCACUCCUCUUGACCUAAUUUCGGGUUAUUCCUCAAGGAGAGAGGACUUGUGUUCCAAAGUGUUAUACACUCACAAUAUCAUGAAUAAGCUACUACAAAUUGACCUACAAUGUGCUAUUUAUACUAGGCUACAAAUAGAAUACAAAAUGACCAAAAGGCCUUUAAUGAAAAGCCUCAAAAUGACGCCCAUAGAGUGUAGUGUAGGUUUGAUUUUGGUGUGUGUUUUAGGCCCUCUUUUGCAUUUUUCUUACACACUCCAAGCCUCGGGUUCAUUACACUUUCACACGUCCAUCCUCGUGGUCGUACUUGUAUCAUCCUCCUUUUCUUGAAAAAGAUCCGACCUCGAAUCCAUAACUUGCAAAAUCAAGAGAAGACAAACAAGAACACAUCCUCAUGACAUGAGGGGUUAGGGUUAGCAAAACAACAACACAUCAACAUAUCAUACCGAGGUGGAACAAACUUAAAGUAUAUCCACAAGUACUUUGUUUUAAUCAUGAAAAGAUUAGUACAAAUGCUACAAAGGAGGUGGCUCGGGCAAGCAUCAAGACAAAAGGAAAAAAGGCCGAGCGUAAUCCUUUUCCACCCUAAGAUGGUACCGGGAUCAAACGAAAGAAGUAGCCAUGGCCAUGGUUUUCAGCCAUACUUACUUUCCCCUAAGGUGUCGCCCUCAAAAUUAGGCAUACCCUUUAUAUCACUAAGGAAAAUAUCAUGAGAACAAAUAGGGCAGGGAAAGGUGUCACACGAGUCAACUCCAACUAUGGUGUCCUCAUGCAAGUAUUUACUAAUUUUAAGUUUAUUGUUAUUAGCAAGCUCAAUAUAGAAAACACACGAAGAAGGAGUAGAUAGCAUUUCUAGGCAUGCAACACUUUCUCUUUCAAGAGAGUAGUCCCUAAAUAGACAUAAACCAUUAUGGACAGCAAAGGGAGCACAAUCAAAACCAACUUCACAAGAAUAAACACUAAUCGGGUUGUCUAGACACUCAAGCACGUCAAGGUCAUCGUCACCCAAUUGAUUAUUUUUAACAUCCUUACUAGUUGUUGGCAAUUCACAUACCAACUUAGACUCACCUUGGUUUUCACAAGGGUCAACUAGUGUGUGAAUAUUUUUAUUACAUGACAAUGAAACCUUAUUCAAGUCACAAGUGCUCUAGCACUAGAUGGACAUAAAUCAUUCUUACGAGAAGAAUUAAUUUUGUCAUCUAAAGAAUCAACUAGUGCUUGCUUACUUACAAUAAGAACUUGGUUGUCAUGCAUCCUAACAAUACCAAAAGUAUCACAAAAAGAAGACCCAUGUACUUCUACUCUAUGUAAACUCGAAACCACUCUCAUUUGGCUACUACUAGCCACUUCACAAUAUUUCAAGUUUGUAAGAGUGUGGGGAUUAGCAUUUUUACCUUAUAACUCGCACGAGUUAUGGUCUUCACUUUGAUGUGUGUCAUGGCAGCCCGCUUGUACCUUUGGCAAGUUCUCAUCACAAGGGAGCCUUUGAUAUAGUGGUUUGUAUGACAUCCACUCCCUUUAUCGUCUUUCAUAAUCACAGAGGAUAGUUUUAAGAUAGGUCGUUGUUCCUUGGUCAAGUGGAGGUUGAAUUAAUGGUUUUGGAUUCAGGGAGUUGAGUAUGUGACGUAGUCUUCAACGUUUAGGUGGACAUCUUCAAGGGCAGCCUUGAAAGUACCGUCAUCCAUGAGACCUAAGAAAGACAACAACAAAACAAGCAAACAAACAAACUUGUUAGUUCAAAUUAGGCUUACCACACUUUCACACUCAGUUUUUUUUAUCUCACUUGGUUUCACAAGUGUUGAAAGAAGGCUUGUACUUCGUGAGUGAUUAAGGGAUGGGUCUGUUUUGGUCCAAAAUAGAUUUUCAUUUGAGUUGACUCAAAAAAAAAUUGUUUCGGACUUGAACCAACAAGAUACAAUGAAUUUACAAAAGAGAAAAACACACAAACAACAUAGACAUGAACAAUGGAUUCAAGAACUAAGUGACAACCUAGUAGAAGUUUACUAGUUUGUUAAUUAGUACUAGGAUCAAUUAAACAAAAUAAAGAAUCAACAAAUAAGAAAUCUAAAAUUUGAGCCAAAAUUGACGUGUGAACAGUAACUUGAUAACAUGGCAGCCUCAAUUGGUUGUGGUUUUUACAAUUUUAUAUUCCAAUGUCAAGUCUUGGUCCAAUUUUACAAUUGUGGGAAUUGGUUAAGGAGGGAAAAAUAAGUCUUGAAAUCCUCUUUCAAAUUUCAAAAAAAAGAAAGACUUGACUUUCUUUGUUCUCUCUCCUCAAAACAUGGCCCUUAAUUCAAUAAAAGUUGUUGGAUCCUAGGACCAAUUGGAGACCACACUAGGAUUCAAGAAAACAAUACAAGAAUGAAAUUAUUCAAGGUGUUCAACACCUAUUUUCAGCCAAUCCAAACUAAGUUAACCAAUAAUAAGAUGAUGAACAAGAAAAACAAUAACAUUGUGAAACAACAACAACCAAAUGGUUAUAAUAACAUCAACACAAACUACACGAUUACAAUGAAAUAAAGGGAUAACUAGAUAAACAAAGUGAAGGUAUAAUCUUAAGAACCUAAGAGUUUAUUCGACACUUGGACCUUUAACACUACAUCAACAAAUACCUAUCUCCUCGGUGGACACAAGAGAGAGACCUCAACCUCCUCUAGCACCCAACGUUCCAAACAAGAAUCCAACAAGAGUGAUUCCACACUCCUCUUGACCUAAUUUCGGGUUGUGACUCAAGGAGAGAGGACUUUUGUUUCAAAGUGUUAUACACUCACAAUAUCAUGAAUAAUCUACCACAAAUUUACCUGCAAUAUUCUAUUUAUACUAUGUUACAAAUAGAAUUCAAAAUGACCAAAAGGCCCUUUAAUGAAAAGCCUCAAAAUAUCACCCAUGGAGUGUAGUGUAGGUUCGGUUUUGGUGUGUGUUUUAGGCCCUCUUUUGCAUUUUUCUUGCACACUCUAAGCCUUGGGUUCAUUACACUUACACACGUCCAUCCUCGUGGUCGUACUUGUAUCAAGAUUCCUCAUGUGUCACCCACAUCGUCUAAGUAUUUUAUUACAACAAAGUCAGCAAUUAGCUUCUUCUUAUGUAUGCAUCUCAAGCUCGUACGAGUAAGCAAACCAAGCCCCACACCCCAUCACUCUGCCACAUCUAUAUACUCAUCCUAUCGAACCUAGGCUCUGAUAUCAUUUGUUGGAUUCAACCAUCUUAAAGAUACUCCUACAUGGCGUGAUAUUGUCCAUUUUGGCCAAACCCAUAUAAUUUCCCCCUCACCCUUUGUUUGGAUGGUGGUUCCCAUGGUAUGGUGUGGUGCGGUUAUUAAGAGAACUAGGUCUGUUUUGAUUGUUUUUUAAAAUGUAUGGUAUGGUAUGGUAUGGUUUGAUUUCAUGGUUUGAAAAUAAUGAAACCCCUCACUUUAUCUAACCACUGAUGUAGGUCAAGAUAUGAGUAAUAUAUUAUAUUUUCUUAAAUCGAAAUUAAGAACUAAUUAAUUAAGGUUGUCACGUUAUUUUUUAGGUGAGAUUAAUACAAAAUUUGGCCAAAGUGACUUUUGUGGUAACAAAAGCAAAGUAAAAUAACUUUUGUAUAAUGAACACAAAACUAAAUGACCAUGAAUGAAAUUUUCUCUCGAAUUUCCCACUCAAUGGGGAAUAACAAAAAAUCAGGGGAGAAUUCAAGUAGAAUUAAGAUUUUAACAAAUAACUCACCAAAUUAAAUUUGUACAUUUACUAAAUUUUAUAAUUUUACUGUAGGAAGACGAAGAUCUACAUUGUCUUUCUUUUCCUACCCUAAUCCUCUUCUUAUGGAAGAUUUUCUUUGAAAGAAAAACAUGCUUCAAUAUUAAUACCUAGAAAUUAUUCAACGUAGGGUGUGCAUGCAUUUAAUUGUUAUAUGCUAGUGUAUAGUUUUAAUUUUCUUUUCUAAUUUUUUGAUUUUGUGAAUUUAGUUGAAACACUGUAAUACAGAAAAUUCAUCCACAUCCCAUAACACAUUCCAACCUCCAAGUAAAUUUACAAUUUCAAUUAGAUAGGUUAUUUGUUAAAAUCGAAUAGCACACACCCUUUAGUUGUACUAUUUUAAAAAACAAAAGGACAUUACGAACAUCAUACGACUUCUAUAUUCUUACACCGUUUCUUAAUAGAGAAACAGAAAAUUUUAAUUUCGUUUUCAAAUACAACAUUAUAUUGUGAGUUGUUAUUUUCUAACUAGUAGCUUCCCUAGUGGACAACUUUUUUCUACUGUUGAUGAAAUCGAAAAAUGAUCUAAAAUUGAACUUUCUACUUUCUCUGUCAAGUUAUUAUGUUAUUCUAAUUGAGGGAGUAGAAAUUAAAAAAUUUUGGUCUUAUUAAAAUCA